UGCUCUGGCGUUUCUCUCCCCUUUUAUUCUCGCCUGCUCUUGCGUUCCCCCCUCUGAUUCCCCCUGCUCUGGCGUUUCCCACCUCUCAUUCCCCCUGCUCUGGCGUUUCCCACCUCUCAUUCCCCCUGCUCUGGCGUUUCCCACCUCUCAUUCCCCCUGCCUCGGCGGUUCCCACCUCUCAUUCCCCCCGCUCUGGCGUUUCUCCCCUCUCAUUCCCCCUGCUCUUGCAGAUCUACCACCCAGUGAGUUGCCCGACGUUGUGUUUCUUUGCCCCGGGCCAUCUGACAACCCUAAUUGUUGAACCCCUGCAGACAUGCGAGUGACAUUGUUUUUCUUAUAUAACUCUCGAUAAGAAAGCUAAUAGGCAGAUUUCACAAAAUGUAAAAAAAAUAAAACAAAAUAAAAAAAUGCUUUUAACCCUCAUGUUGUCUUUGGGUCAUAUGUGACCCGUUUUCAUUUUUUUUUAAAUCACAAAAAAAUGGGCCGUCAAAAUAAGAGCUGAAAAUGUCAACAUUAAAAAUAUCAAAUAACAUCAAAAAGUGACAAAAAUGACGGAAAAAGCGAUAGUAGUGUUUCGUGGUUGACGGGAAGACAACACAAGGGUUAAAAUCUGAUGUUUUUCCCCUGAGCUCAGCAGGAGUCCUCAGGUGCAGUUUGGAAAGCAUCUGACCGACAUUUUCCAUUUAUUUCAUGUACUUCCACCGCAGCUUUAAGGCAUUUUAAAACCAUUAAAACAGCCGGCGUCGCGUGCAGGUUGCCAGUCGGGUAAUUACAACAGGGAUAACCAAAUGUAUCCGCUUCUUUUUUUUUUUUAGUUUUAAGCUGAAUCUGAACUGCCAAUUAGCCGCGUACAUGCUGUGGUUAAAGUGUUAAUACAUACUCUUUAACGUCAGAAUUUCAGAGUGCUUUAAGGUGUCAUCCCUGUAAAAAGCGACCGGGUUAGCACCGUUUAAAGUAGCUUUGCCGAAGUCAGGUCUCUGUUUUUAUUGUUGUUUUUCCGGGUUUUUUUAGGGCACCCGUCUCGCCUCAAAAUCUCACGUAAAAAAAAAAAACUGUAUGCAUAAAGAUUUUUGUUUUGGGGUUGUUGUUGUUGUUGUUGUUUUUUUAAUAAUGAAGAGUUAUUUUUGGACUCAUUGGUAUAAAAGUUUUAACUAAACAGAACAAGAGUUGAUAUUUUUGAUAGGACGACACAGGCUUCAGUCAUUCAGCAGGUUCCUUAAAGCACCGAGAGGAAGAAGAAGAAAAACCACUUUUCGCAGUUAAUUCCACAAAAAAACCCAAAUCUAUCAUUUUGUCUUAAGGUGGAAAAUAUAUAAUCCCAAGAUGCAAUGCCUGAAGAUUGUGUAGGUGUAAAAAAUAAAAAAAAUAAAAGCAGCUUUACACCAGC